AGUGUACCAUGUGACAGUUUGUUCUGGGACGCACGCCAACUCCAGUCCGUCUAGAACGUCUGUGGGCAGUGGGAGGAUAUCCAAGACGGAUAGAACCUUGGGAAUCAUGUAGCACAACCGUAUGCGUUUUACAGCCGGAGAAACCACAGCUGGGGGGACAGCUUCCAAAUAGGGGGCGAUCCAUUGUACACAAUUGAAGUCACAAUUAGGGCAUACAACUGACGUCCUGGAGAAAGAACAGCCUCACGACACAGUGAUUUGAACUGGGGUCUUGUAUCUUCUCUGGCCAUGACUGGAGGUGAGAUGCGUGGAAGGGGGUGAUGGUGAGGCUUCACUGACAGCUCUGAAGGAAAGGGAUGAAUUUCACAAGCUUGGUGAUCCGCUUUGCACGUCUGUCCCCACCCACAUCUCAUGUCAAAUUGUAAUGCCCAGUGUUGGAGGUACAGGGGCUGGUGAGAGUUCAUUGGUGAUGGCAGCAGAGUUCUCCGUAAUGGUUUAACACCAUCUCCCUAGGUGAGGUACAGCACGUGAAUUCUCAUGAGAUUGGCUUGUUUAAAACUGUGUGGCACUUUCUCCCUCUUCUCUCUUCCUCCUACACUAGCCGCGUAAGACACCUGCUCCUGCUUUGCCUUCCGCCGUGAUUGUGAGUUUCCUGAGGCCUCCCCGGAAACCGUGCAGAAGGUGCUAUCCUUCCUGUACACCUGCAGGAUCCCUACUCUCUCCAGCCGGGAGAAAAAAGUCCAUAGCACAAGUCACUUGGUCCUGUAGGAGUGAAAGUGUCCCUCACCUCCAGAGGGGGAGGUGGCACGGUGGCUCAUGGCUGUCACCACAGCACUUUGAAAGGCUGAGGCCAGCGGAUCACAAGGUCACGACAUCGAGACCAUCCUGGCUAACACGGUGAAACCCCAUCUCUACUAAAAGUACAAAAGUUAUCCGGGUGUGGUGUGGGCACCUGUGGCCUCAGCUACUCGGGAGGCUGAAGCAGGAGAAUUGCUUGAACCCGGGAGGUGGAGGUUGCAGUGAGUCAAGAUUCCAUCGCUGUACUCCAGCCUGGGCUGCAGAGAAAGUGGAGUGGAGACUGUUUCUUUAAUUGUCACGACUUGAGCAAAGAGGCAGCUGGAUCACCUGAGGUCAGGAGUUUGAGACCAGCCUGACCAACAUGGAGAAACCCCAUCUCUACUGAAAAUAGAAAAUUAGCUGGCCGUAGUGGCCGGUGCCUGUAAUCCCACGUACUCAGGAGGCUGAAGCAGGAGAAUAGCUUGAACUCGGGAGGUGGAGGUUGCAGUGAGCUGAGAUGGCGCCAUUGCACUCAAGCCUGGGCAACAAGAG
rnacentral:lncRNA from 13 species